GAUGAACGCUGGCGGCGUGCCUAACACAUGCAAGUCGAGCGGACGGACGAGAAGCUUGCUUCGCUGAUGUUAGCGGCGGACGGGUGAGUCACACGAGGAUAACCUACCUAUAAGACUGGGGUCAGUUCGGGAAACCGGAGAUAACACCGGAUCAUAUUUUGAACCGGAGGGUUCAUAAGUGAACGACGGUUUUGCUGUCACUAAUAGAUGGUUCCGAGCUGCAUUAGCUAGUUGGUAAGGUAACGGCUUACCAAGGCGACGAUGCAUAGCCGAACUGAGAGGCUGAUCAGCCACACUGGAACUGAGACACGGUCCAGACUCCUACGGGAGGCAGCAGUAGGGAAUCUUCCGCAAUGGGCGAAAGCCUGACGGAGCCACGCCGCGUGUGUGAUGAAGGUCUUCGGAUCGUAAAGCUCUGUUAUUAGGGAAGAACAGAUGUGUAUGAAUCUGUGCACGUCUUGACGGUACCUAAUCAGUAAGCCCCGGCUAACUACGUG
rnacentral:rRNA from 1 species